CUAUCAAUGUCACAAAUCUCCCCCAGGACACUGUCCCGUGCUCUGAGCCCCGAUCUCUCCUCACACCUGUCACUACAGAUCUUGCUAUAUAGCAAAAGGCAUGCAAAUAGAGCCCUCCCUCUGCUGAUGAAAACCAGCCCAGCCUUGACCCUGCAGCUCUGGGAGAGGAGCCCAGCCCUGGGAUUGUCAGGUGUUUGCAUUUGGUGAUCAGCGCAGAACACAGAGACUGAACUCACCAUGGAGUUUGUGCUGAGCUGGGUUUUCCUUGUUGCUAUUUUAAAAGGUGUCCAGUGUGAGGUGCAGCUGGUGGAGUCUGGGGGAGGCUUGGUUCAGCCUGGGGGGUCCCUGAGACUCUCCUGCGCAGCCUCUGGAUUCACCUUCAGUAGCUAUGGCAUGCACUGGGUCCGCCAGGCUCCGGGGAAGGGGCUGGAGUGGGUCUCGGCCAUUAGAUAUGAUGGUGGCAAGACAUACUACGCAGACUCCGUGAAGGGCCGAUUCACCAUCUCCAGAGACAACGCCAAGAACUCGCUGUAUCUGCAGAUGAACAGCCUGAGAGCCGAGGACACGGCCGUGUAUUACUGUGCGAGAGACACACUGAGGGGAAGUCAGUGUGAGCCCAGACACAAACCUCCUGCAGGAACACUCGGGGACGUCAGCAGCAGGGGGCGCUCGGGAGCCACUGAUCAGAGUCAACCCCAGAGGCAGAUGCAGAUGGAGGCUGAUUUCCUGUCAGGAUGUGGGACUUCAUCUUCUGACAGUUUCUCUAGUGAAUCUCUCUAAAUUUAGAAUUCUGUGCUUCCUAAUAUCUCUACCUUUUUUUGUAAGGAUCGAGAGAGAAGAAAGAAAAGCUCCAAAGCUCUAUCCAUUCUUUCCGGAAUGACAGCCUCAUCUCCCACCUCCUCUCAUUUCCUCAGGAAUAGCAGCCUCGUCUGCUGGGAGGGGCAGAAAAGAGGAAGCUGAAGACAUCAGUGGGAAGUCUUAGUGGCUGCUGGAAGACCCAUUGUUCAAAUCUGCUCUUGUUGUCUGUGCCUUUAAUGUGAAAUAUAGGAAAUCUCUGUUAACAUUAUUUCUGGGUGAGGGAAAUUGUACAACUGCAGGUUAUGCAUUAACAAUUUAGCCCAUUUAGAGUUAAUUUUUGUGUUUAUUCUAACCUAAAAUUCUUAACUCUUUGCAUGUGUAAAUCCAGUUUUGCCAGCACCCUCUUAGGGAGAGACUUUGGUUUAUCCGUUGUAUAUUGUUGGUUCUCAUGCUGAAAAUCAGAUUGCCCUCAGUGUACCAGUUUAUGUCUGAACUCUCAAUAUAUAUUUCUGCCUAUCCCAUCUUGUUUUUGUUACUCUACUUUUGUAAUUACUUUUGGAAUCUGGAAGUAAAAUGCCUUCAAGUUUAUUCUUGCCUUGUUACAGAUACUCUAGCAAAAUAUUUUAACAUUUUGCUAAUUAAUUAAGUAUGAUAACAGAUAUGG